rnacentral:rRNA from 1 species
UACGUAGGGUGCGAGCGUUAAUCGGAAUUACUGGGCGUAAAGCGUGCGCAGGCGGUUUUGUAAGCCAGAUGUGAAUCCCCGGGCUUAACCUGGGAAUGGCAUUUGGGACUGCAAGGCUGGAGUACGGCAGAGGAGACUGGAAUUCCUGGUGUAGCAGUGAAAUGCGUAGAGAUCAGGAGGAAUACCGAUGGCGAAGGCAGGUCUCUGGGCUGAUACUGACGCUCAUGCACGAAAGCGUGGGGAGCAAACAGGG